GAGGGUAUAGCUCAAGUGGCAGAGCGCAUGCUUAGCAUGCACGAGGUCCUGGGUUCAAUCUCCAGUACCUCCU
rnacentral:tRNA from 1 species